rnacentral:misc_RNA from 1 species
GAUGAAGAAACGUAGCGAAAUGCGAUACGUAAUGUGAAUUGCAAAUUCAGUGAAUCAUCGAGUCUUUGAACGCACAUUGCGCCCCCUGGUAUUCCGGGGGGCAUGCCUGUCCGAGCGUCAUUGCUGCCCUCAAGCACGGCUUGUGUGUUGGGCCCCGUCCUCCGAUCCCGGGGGACGGGCCCGAAAGGCAGCGGCGGCACCGCGUCCGGUCCUCGAGCGUAUGGGGCUUUGUCACCCGCUCUGUAGGCCCGGCCGGCGCUUGCCGAUCAACCCAAAUUUUUAUCCAGGUUGACCUCGGAUCAGGUAGGGAUACCCGCUGAACUUAAGCAUAUCAAUAAGCGGAGGA